rnacentral:misc_RNA from 1 species
AAUCUGAGGCUGCCAUUGUGGCCUUCUCCCGAGGAAGCUCGUGAGCAGAUAUUGAGCAUUUGGGACAAGGCAGAGGUGAUCAAAGUCAGCGAUGUAGAGCUUGAGUUCCUCACUGGAAGUGACAAAAUUGAUGACGCUGAUGCCUUGUCACUUUGGCAUCCUAACUUGAAGUUGCUGUUGGUCACCCUUGGUGAGAAGGGUUGCAG